rnacentral:rRNA from 1 species
AGCGAACGCUGGCGGCAGGCUUAACACAUGCAAGUCGAGCGGGCGUAGCAAUACGUCAGCGGCAGACGGGUGAGUAACGCGUGGGAACAUACCUUUUGGUUCGGAACAACCCAGGGAAACUUGGGCUAAUACCGGAUAAGCCCUUACGGGGAAAGAUUUAUCGCCGAAAGAUUGGCCCGCGUCUGAUUAGCUAGUUGGUGAGGUAACGGCUCACCAAGGCGACGAUCAGUAGCUGGUCUGAGAGGAUGAUCAGCCACAUUGGGACUGAGACACGGCCCAAACUCCUACGGGAGGCAGCAGUGGGGAAUAUUGGACAAUGGGCGCAAGCCUGAUCCAGCCAUGCCGCGUGAGUGAUGAAGGCCCUAGGGUUGUAAAGCUCUUUUGUGCGGGAAGAUAAUGACGGUACCGCAAGAA